rnacentral:tRNA from 1 species
ACCUGCUUAAGCUCAGUUGGUAGAGCAUGAGGCUCUUAAUAUCAGGGUCCUGGGUUCAAGCCCCACACUGGGCA